rnacentral:rRNA from 1 species
UGGGGAAUUUUGGGACAAUGGGGGGAAACCCUGAUCCAGCCAUCCCGCGUGUGCGAUGAAGGCCUUCGGGUUGUAAAGCACUUUUGGCAGGAAAGAAACGUCGCGGGUUAAUACCCCGCGAAACUGACGGUACCUGCAGAAUAAGCACCGGCUAACUACGUGCCAGCAGCCGCGGUAAUACGUAGGGUGCAAGCGUUAAUCGGAAUUACUGGGCGUAAAGCGUGCGCAGGCGGUUCGGAAAGAAAGAUGUGAAAUCCCAGAGCUUAACUUUGGAACUGCAUUUUUAACUACCGGGCUAGAGUGUGUCAGAGGGAGGUGGAAUUCCGCGUGUAGCAGUGAAAUGCGUAGAUAUGCGGAGGAACACCGAUGGCGAAGGCAGCCUCCUGGGAUAACACUGACGCUCAUGCACGAAAGCGUGGGGAGCAAACAGGAUUAGAUACCCUGGUAGUCCACGCCCUAAACGAUGUCAACUAGCUGUUGGGGGCCUUCGGGCCUUGGUAGCGCAGCUAACGCGUGAAGUUGACCGCCUGGGGAGUACGGUCGCAAGAUUAAAACUCAAAUGAAUUGACGGGGGUCAUAGCUGUUUUCCU